rnacentral:lncRNA from 1 species
AUGUGCGCAUGCAUGAGGAACCCAAAAAAACAACACGGAAAAUGGGAUUUGGAGAAGGAUCACCGUGAGAUUGAGGGAGGGACUAAGUGUGUGCGUGAUAUUUCUUCCUCUGCGGGGCUCGCAGCGCGCAGGUACAGCAUCUUCUGCAAGUCCACCGCUCGGUUGACCGGCGCUUCCAGCACUGCAGGAAAGUUUCCAGUCGCGUCUGUGAUGAGUUACUACAUGGAUCCAGUUUCUUCCUACCCAGCCCUUCACCCCUGUGACCGUCUGGGCACAACGAGACCAGCUGGAGGAGUUGCAGUGGGCCCUGAGACCCACCUCCCAGGUGUGGUUCACCCCCAGCAGCAGUUUUACCCCUCACAGCCCCUUCACCCCCACGACAUACCCCUGCAGGAGGUACCGGACGGCCGUGACAUGUGUCCUACAGGUAGGAAGGAAACACACUUGAAAUCAAACAGGUUGUGGUUUCAAUCAAAUCAUGCAGUAAAUAAAAAUUUUGAGCAUAUUUAA